GAGAUCUCUGUGCAGCCUCGUGGGAAGCCAGCCUAAAACCUGGAAACCUUAACCUCCGUUUCCUGUUGCUUCUCAGAGCUCAGGGAGGAAGUCCAUGUUUACUUCCUCAAAGGUGGCUGAGGGAUGAGGCUCUUCUUGCUGGGCCCUGAGGUCACACCAGCCCUCAGAAGAAACUGAGAAACUCCUAGUAAUUUUCACUAAAGAAGAUGGUUCAAGGGU
rnacentral:lncRNA from 1 species